GAGUUUGAUCAUGGCUCAGAUUGAACGCUGGCGGCAUGCCUUACACAUGCAAGUCGAACGGCAGCACGGGAGCUUGCUCCUGGUGGCGAGUGGCGAACGGGUGGGUAAUGCAUCGGAACGUAUCCUGGAGUGGGGGAUAACGUAGCGAAAGUUACGCUAAUACCGCAGUAUUCUGUGAGCAGGAAAGCGGGGGACCUUCGGGCCUCGCGCUCUUGGAGCGGCCGAUGUCGGAUUAGCUAGUUGGUGAGGUAAGGGCUCACCAAGGCGACGAUCCGUAGCAGGUCUGAGAGGAUGAUCUGCCACACUGGAACUGAGACACGGUCCAGACUCCUACGGGAGGCAGCAGUGGGAAUUUUGGACAAUGGGGGCAACCCUGAUCCAGCCAUGCCGCGUGAGUGAAGAAGGCCUCGGUUGU
rnacentral:rRNA from 1 species